rnacentral:rRNA from 1 species
AUUGAACGCUGGCGGCAUGCCUAACACAUGCAAGUCGAGCGAGCGGCGGACGGGUGAGUAAUGUCUGGGAAACUGCCUGAUGGAGGGGGAUAACUACUGGAAACGGUAGCUAAUACCGCAUACCAUCAGAUUUGCCCAGAUGGGAUUAGCUGGUCGGUGGGGUAACGGCUCACCUAGGCGACGAUCCCUAGCUGGUCUGAGAGGAUGAACAGCCACACUGGAACUGAGACACGGUCCAGACUCCUACGGGAGGCAGCAGUGGGGAAUAUUGCACAAUGGGCGAAAGCCUGACGCAGCCAUGCCGCGUGUGUGAAGAAGGUCUUCGGGUCGUAAAGCACUGUCAGCGGGGAGGCGUUACCCGCAGAAGAAGCACCGGCUAACUCCGUGCCAGCAGCCGCGGUAAUUC